CGGGUUUAGGAUUUCUAGAUUUAUGUUUAAGGUUUUUGGUUUAGGGUUUUGGGAUUAAGGUUUCCAAUUUAGGGUUUCGAGUCUAGUGUUCCAUGAUUUGGGUUACGUGAUUCGGGUUUUGGGAUUAGGGUUUCAGGUUUAGCAUUUAGGAUUUCGAGUUUAAGGUUUCGUGUUUGUAUUAUUGGGUUUACGGUUUAGGGUUUAGGAUUUAGGUUUUCAGAUUUAGGGUUCUGGGAUUAGGGUUUAUGGUUUAGCAUUUAGGAU
rnacentral:lncRNA from 1 species